AGAGUUUGAUCAUGGCUCAGGACGAACGCUGGCGGCGUGCUUAACACAUGCAAGUCGAACGGAAAGGCCCUUCGGGGUACUCGAGUGGCGAACGGGUGAGUAACACGUGGGUGAUCUGCCCUGCACUUUGGGAUAAGCCUGGGAAACUGGGUCUAAUACCAAAUAUGACCGCGCACUUCCUGGUGUGUGGUGGAAAGCUUUUGCGGUGUGGGAUGGGCCCGCGGCCUAUCAGCUUGUUGGUGGGGUAAUGGCCUACCAAGGCGACGACGGGUAGCCGGCCUGAGAGGGUGACCGGCCACACUGGGACUGAGAUACGGCCCAGACUCCUACGGGAGGCAGCAGUGGGGAAUAUUGCACAAUGGGCGCAAGCCUGAUGCAGCGACGCCGCGUGAGGGAUGACGGCCUUCGGGUUGUAAACCUCUUUCAAUAGGGACGAAGCGCAAGUGACGGUACCUAUAGAAGAAGGACCGGCCAACUACGUGCCAGCAGCCGCGGUAAUACGGAGGGUGCAAGCGUUGCUCGGAAUUAUUGGGCGUAAAGGGUAGGUAGGUGGUCUCGUUUGUCUGGGGUGAAAGCCUUGAGCUUAACUCAAGAAGUGCCCCAGAAACGGCGAGACUGGAGUCUUGGAGAGGGUCGUGGAAUUCCCGGUGUAGCGGUGAAAUGCGUAGAGAUCGGGAGGAACACCAGAGGCGAAGGCGGGUCUCUGGGCAGUAACUGACGCUGAGGAGCGAAAGCGUGGGGAGCGAACAGGAUUAGAUACCCCGGUAGUCC
rnacentral:rRNA from 1 species